rnacentral:rRNA from 1 species
AUUUUWCUGUAAAUAAAAUMUGCUCAMUGAKUWCUAAUUAWAUAGCCGCAMUACUGUGCUAAGGKAGCAUAAUCAUUUGCUUUUUAAWUAAAAGCKAGARWGARAGAUUUAACAUUUGAAUUUCUUUAUUAAAAUUUAAUAUUUAAUUUAUACUAAAUAUAAAAAUAUAUUUUUUAAAAAAAAAGACGACAAGACCCUAUUAAACUUAAACUUAAAGUUUGACUGGGGCAGUCUAUUAAUAAAAAUUUUAAUAUAUAUAUAUAUAUAUAUAAUAUAUAAAUAAAUUUCUAGUAAAAUUAAUUUAAACAAGUUACUAUAGGGAUAACAGCGUUAUAUUUUUUAAAAGUUCAUAUUUAAAAUAAUGAUUGCGACCUCGAUGUUGAAUUAUAUUUCUAUAAWAACGCAMCCG